rnacentral:rRNA from 1 species
GAUGAACGCUGGCGGCGUGCCUAAUACAUGCAAGUCGAGCGAACAGAUGAGGAGCUUGCUCCUCUGACGUUAGCGGCGGACGGGUGAGUAACACGUGGAUAACCUACCUAUAAGACUGGGAUAACUUCGGGAAACCGGAGCUAAUACCGGAUAAUAUAUUGAACCGCAUGGUUCAAUAGUGAAAGACGGUUUUGCUGUCACUUAUAGAUGGAUCCGCGCCGCAUUAGCUAGUUGGUAAGGUAACGGCUUACCAAGGCAACGAUGCGUAGCCGACCUGAGAGGGUGAUCGGCCACACUGGAACUGAGACACGGUCCAGACUCCUACGGGAGGCAGCAGUAGGGAAUCUUCCGCAAUGGGCGAAAGCCUGACGGAGCAACGCCGCGUGAGUGAUGAAGGUCUUCGGAUCGUAAAACUCUGUUAUUAGGGAAGAACAAAUGUGUAAGUAACUAUGCACGACUUGACGGUACCUAAUCAGAAAGCCACGGCUAACUACGU